UCUGCUCCUACAAGGUCCUCAAGGCCUGCAUGGGUGUCACAGCUCCAGAUGCCCAGAGGGAGACGGUGUUUGUUUGUGCUGUCUGCAACUCCACCCUCAGCAAGUGAGAAAUGACUUCCACCUCCUACCCACUCAUGGAAACCUAGGGAGGGUACUGCCCCUCCUACCCAGGGUUCGAAGCUCCUUGGCUGGGUGGAGCCCGCGGCAGAUCAGCCUCUACCCCGCCUGGGGGUGGUUCAAAACCCCAGGUUGUCUGGUUCUCUGGCUCCAGCCCAGGUGACCAGGGUUAUUAAGAUGAACCAGUCCCAAAUGGCAACCUAUUCCCUAUAAAUUACACUGCUUUUGCCCAGAGCCCUAUGGGGUUCCCUAUGGGCCCUGGUCUACAGUAGUGGACUAUAUAGGGAAUAGGGUGUCAUUUGGGACACUACCACAGACUCUCAUCAGCUUGUGUUGCAUUGAGAUUUAUCCUGUACUGUCAUUCUGUCAAUGGAGGUCCUGAGAAUGCUGAGAGGUGUGUGUGUGUGUGUGUGUGUGUGUGUGUGUGUGUGUGUGUGUGUGUGUGUGUGUGUGUGUGUGUGUGUGUGUGUGUGUGUGUGUGUGUGUGUGUGUGUGUGUGUGUGUGUGUGUGUGUGUGUGUGUGUGUGUGUGUGUGUGUGUGUGUGUUGUAUAGGAUAUGCUAUAGAUUGACCCUGUUAUAACUUAUCCAUUCUGUAGUGGUUUUAUAUGUUGGUCCUAAUGUUAAUUUAAUGGAUGUAAAGACAGGAUGCUAAAGACUAUGCCUCAGUCCUAAAUGGCAUUCUCUAAUCCCCAUGGAGCAUAACCUAACCCCAUGGAGUGAUUUCCAGAGGUGAUCCCAGAGCUGUGUUCAAAUACUCAUACUAGCUGUACUAUUUGUGAUGUAACAUUGAGUAUGUAGUUAAGUACUUAUUGGAUAUAGUAUGCCAAACGUUCCUGGAUGUCGUACUAAAUUCACCUAAAUACGAAGUAUACAAGCAGUGGACACUAUUUCUGUGCUUUUAGGGACCAUAAUGCAAUUCUUCAGAAAAUGGGCGUGGCUUCACCCACGUUUUCAGAUUUGAGGAAAAUGGCCGAUGAGAGCAGAUAGAAAUGAAUUGCUUUAAGAAAAUGUUGAGCAAUGUAAUAAAGUAAUGACUUUUCAAACAAGUUAAACGUUAUGUUGGCUGACAAUUUAUUAGCUACGCUGUCCUUACGAACCACAGCAUGUCAUUCAGCAGUAUGUACCGGGCUGUUAGCUAGCUACCUAACGUUAGUUGGCUACUAAUACAUUGAACUUGCCAGGUAGUACAUUGAACUUGCCAGGUAGUAUAUUAACUAACUACCAAAUGUUUAUUGACUUGAUUAUUCACAUCAUUCUUAGCUAAGUGCACAGAAUAGCUGAAUAAAACGCGUUGAAUAUGGCCGGUGUCAGUAAACGUUGUCAAGGGAAAAAAGCGUUAUUAAAUUGUUGCCUGCAGCACAGUUAGUCACCAACACCCUGGAUAAAAUGAAAACUGCCUAACCAGCUCUGCUAGGGUGAGUAAAAUGGUCAGGGUGAGGGUUUCUCUCAUUUGUGUCUGGAGGUAGCUAGCCAGUUAGCUUGGGUGCUUGACUGCCGUUGUGAGGACAGAACGCUCAGAUCAACCCUACUCAUUUACAUUUACAUUUAAGUCAUUUAGCAGACACUCUUAUCCAGAGCGACUUACAAAUCCCAUGGAGAUCUCUGCAGCCAGUUUGACCUCUGCCUCCACUCCUUGGCCAGAGCGUCUAUUGUGGGCUCCGAGACCGAAAAGCUCUGGAUUUACGAACUGACAACGCUUUACGAACGCACCCCAUAUUGAAUUUACAGACACAGCCGAAAUCGUAAAAUGUCUAGCGAGUAAUUUGUUAUGCUAACAAGCCAGCAAGAGGUUGCAUAGCAACAGCAUCAACUUCUGGUAGACAGGCGAAGUGCUAGUACACUCAACUGAAAGGAUACCCUUCGUUUCCAGUAUUCUAAAAUUAACUAAUAGUAUGUAGUAUACAGGAGGUUGGUAUGGGUACUUGAACACAGCACAGGCUUUAGAUUGACACAUAAGAAUGUACAUGUUACACUUUUACCAUUGUGAUCACCAAUAUUCAAUCCACUGAAAGUUUAUAUUUAUCCAAUUUAUUAAUUAAUUCAUUUGUUUGAUUAGCUUGACAGGAAUGGAGGAGUUUGUUUACUCUUCAUUGCUUCAAUAAACUGUGAUUUUGAAUGUUUGAAAUUAAUUUAUGGCAUAUUUUUCCUGCCUUUUUUCAGCCUAGUUGUAGAGAGCUCUGUUUAAAAAAUAAAAAAUGUAAAAAGAGA